rnacentral:lncRNA from 1 species
UAAAACCCCAAACCAAGGAGAAGGCGGACAUCGCCGCCGCUUCUCCUUCUCCUCCUCCCAAAUUAUCUCUCUCGGUAGGAAUUCGAUCUCCAUUUCACCGCAAACCCUCGACUUCUUGGUCUGCAUCUUCUUUUUUUCUCUGGAUUUUUUGGGGGUUUGAGGUGGAGCGGAGGACGAGAGAUGAAUUUUAAGAACGCCAAGGUUCCGAAUAUCUCCGGUGCCGGCUCGGCGGCGACGCUCAUCAAGGUGGCGCUCGUCGGGGGCACCGGCGUCAUCCUUAGUUCUUCACUAUUUCCGUCCUCCUUAGUUCUUCACUUCUUCCGUCCUUCGCCCGUUCGCUAUCAGCCCGUCCUCGGGUCUCACAAUCUCACUUCGCCCGUUUGCCAGUUGCCACUCGCCGUCCUCCCCGUCGGUACUCGGCCGAAGAGAGAGACGAGGGAUCAGGAAGGCGGCGUCGCCGGCGUCAUGGCGUGACGGCGUCUCUUCUCCUUUUCGGCCCUCCGCCCUUUCCAGCCUCCAGGUGGCAGGUGCUCUUCAGAUAUUUCUCUGUAAAGACUUCGGUACAUGCUUUCCUCAUUGUGCUACAUUAACUCAAGUUCCUUAUUAACUUGUUUCGUGUUUAUGAAGCUCAAGGUUUUUUUUUUUUUUUUGGAAUUUCAUAUUCAUGUACUGGUGGUAUCAGAAUGCCUGUUGGUCUCUUUUUAGAUUCAUAAUUUUCCUCCAAUCCGCUGUACCUUCUGUUGCAACUUGAUGGUUUCCUGGAUUUCAUAACAAUGUGCAUUGAUGAUUUAUAUGCUUCAGAUUUGCAAAACCAACGCUUAUUGAAUUAUUAUUUGGGUGUCAGAUGUGCAGGGAAGACUUCUUUCUGAAACAGCCAAAUAACUAAACGAUCACCUUGAAUCAUAACGCUUCACCUAACACUCUAUAAAUGUCAAGGGAUCUUGAUUUGGAGCUUGUUAUCUGUUAAGUUGUUAUCCCCGUUUAGUAGUUUUGAUGGCACGCCAUCUGUUUGAUAGUUUGACUGGGAGGACUUGAAGCUUGUUAUCUGUUAAGCUGUUAUCCCCGUUUAGUAGUUUUGAUGGCACGCCAUCUGUUUGACAGUUUGACUGUGAGAAUUUGGAGCUUGUUAUCUGUUAAGCUGUUAUCCCCGUUUAGUAGUUUUGAUGGCACGCCAUCGGUUUGACUGUUUGACUGUGAGGAUUUGGAGCUUGUAUGAACAUGUGAAUGUGAU